UACGUAGGGAGCGAGCGUUGUCCGGAAUUACUGGGUGUAAAGGGUGCGUAGGCGGGAUAGCAAGUCAGGCGUGAAAUCCAUCGGCUUAACCGGUGAACUGCGCUUGAAACUGUAAUUCUUGAGUGAAGUAGAGGCAGGCGGAAUUCCGAGUGUAGCGGUGAAAUGCGUAGAUAUUCGGAGGAACACCAGUGGCGAAGGCGGCCUGCUGGGCUUUUACUGACGCUGAGGCACGAAAGCAUGGGGUGCAAACA
rnacentral:rRNA from 1 species